UACAGAGGGUGCAAGCGUUGUUCGGAAUUAUUGGGCGUAAAGCGCGUGUAGGCGGCUUUGCAAGUCGGGUGUGAAAGCCCUCAGCUUAACUGAGGAAGUGCGCCCGAAACUGCAGAGCUCGAGUACCGGAGAGGAUGGCGGAAUUCCCCAAGUAGAGGUGAAAUUCGUAGAUAUGGGGAGGAACACCGGUGGCGAAGGCGGCCAUCUGGACGGAUACUGACGCUGAGACGCGAAAGCGUGGGGA
rnacentral:rRNA from 1 species